rnacentral:rRNA from 1 species
ACGGGAGGCAGCAGUGGGGAAUAUUGCACAAUGGGGGAAACCCUGAUGCAGCGACGCCGCGUGAGUGAAGAAGUAUUUCGGUAUGUAAAGCUCUAUCAGCAGGGAAGAAAGUGACGGUACCUGACUAAGAAGCCCCGGCUAACUACGCGCCAGCAGCCGCGGUAAUACGUAGGUGGCAAGCGUUGUCCGGAUUUACUGGGUGUAAAGGGUGCGCAGGCGGGACUGCAAGUUGGAUGUGAAAUACCGGAGCUCAACUCCGGAACUGCAUCCAAAACUGUAGUUCUUGAGUGGAGUAGAGGUAAGCGGAAUUCCGAGUGUAGCGGUGAAAUGCGUAGAUAUUCGGAGGAACACCAGUGGCGAAGGCGGCUUACUGGGCUCUAACUGACGCUGAGGCACGAAAGUGUGGGUAGCAAACAGGAUUAGAUACCCUGGUA